AAAGAAGUACCAUCUUGAAAAAUAAGUUUUGGAACUUAUUUGUAACUAGUAAUAAUGUACAUGCAUAUAUGAUGUAUUAUAACUGAAAUGUGACUGCAUUUUACAAAAUACUGGUCCACUAAAACACAGCCAAGACAGGUGACUUUGUAAAGGCUAGUUUUACAUUCUUGGAUAUGGUAACACUAGUGCACGUUUUGAUGAGUUUUG